AGAACGAACGCUGGCGGCAGGCUUAACACAUGCAAGUCGAGCGCCCCGCAAGGGGAGCGGCAGACGGGUGAGUAACGCGUGGGAACAUACCCUCCGGUUCGGAAUAGCUCAGGGAAACUUGGAUUAAUACCGGAUACGGCCUAGCGGCGAAAGAUUCAUCGCCGGAGGAUUGGCCCGCGUUCGAUUAGCUAGUUGGUGAGGUAACGGCUCACCAAGGCGACGAUCGAUAGCUGGUCUGAGAGGAUGAUCAGCCACAUUGGGACUGAGACACGGCCCAAACUCCUACGGGAGGCAGCAGUGGGGAUAUUGGACAAUGGGCGCAAGCCUGAUCCAGCCAUGCCGCGUGAGUGAUGACGGCCUUAGGGUUGUAAAGCUCUUUCGCUAGGGACGAUAAUGACGGUACCUAGACAAGAGCCCGGCUAACUUCGUGCCAGCAGCCGC
rnacentral:rRNA from 1 species